rnacentral:lncRNA from 1 species
UAUGAAGUAAAUACAUCCAGGGUGUGUUGACUUCUCACCAGCCAAACACUGGCUACCUGAACACCAUCUCCCUGAGUAUCUUACUUCUUAAAUGACUCUGCUUACCGCAUAACAUAUGGAAAUAUUGGUGGGAAACUUAAAAUGUGCAAUAACAACUCUGGGGAAAGACAGGAAAUCGGAAGAAUUGGAAAGUCGUCUAGUGAAUCCUCAGCCACCUCCUCUCUUCAGAUAUUGUGGGCUUGGAAUCAAGUGUGGACUGGAAAUUCAACAACUGGCUGGGUCUGUGUCUCGUGAACUCUGCCUGGCAUGAACACUUCUGUUUCAGCACAUCUGUGAUUGCCAUAUCACCAGCAUUUGCAGAAUGGAGGAUUAAUUUUAUUGUGCACUGGAUCAGCAGAUCUGGUGACAUAAUAUUGCACUACGAAGAAGGAUUACUCACCAGUUUCUGGAUGCUACAUUUUUAGAAACGAACUCCACUUAACGAUAAGUGUUGGAUCUAACAACUUCCCCCUUUUCCUCACUCCCACUCUCCAAUCACCCAACCAACAAAUAUCACUUAAUGCAAAAACCGGCUCUCUUGGGACCAGAUGGAUAUAAUUUUUCUUCAAGAUAAAA